AUUGAACGCUGGCGGCAUGCCUUACACAUGCAAGUCGAACGGUAACAGGUCUUCGGAUGCUGACGAGUGGCGAACGGGUGAGUAAUAUAUCGGAACGUGCCCAGUCGUGGGGGAUAACGCAGCGAAAGCUGUGCUAAUACCGCAUACGAUCUAUGGAUGAAAGCGGGGGAUCGCAAGACCUCGCGCGAUUGGAGCGGCCGAUAUCAGAUUAGGUAGUUGGUGGGGUAAAGGCCCACCAAGCCAACGAUCUGUAGCUGGUCUGAGAGGACGACCAGCCACACUGGAACUGAGACACGGUCCAGACUCCUACGGGAGGCAGCAGUGGGGAAUUUUGGACAAUGGCGCAAGCCUGAUCCAGCAAUGCCGCGUGCAGGAUGAAGGUACUUCGGGUUGGUAAACUAGGACUUUUGUUACGGUAACGAAAAAGGACGACUGGUUAAUUAACCUGGGACGUCACUGACGGUACCGUAACGGAAUAAAGACACCGACGUAACUACGUAGCCACG
rnacentral:rRNA from 1 species